GAUGAACGCUGGCGGCGUGCCUAAUACAUGCAAGUCGAGCGAACAGACGAGGAGCUUGCUCCUCUAACGUUAGCGGCGGACGGGUGAGUAACACGUGGAUAACCUACCUAUAAGACUGGGAUAACUUCGGGAAACCGGAGCUAAUACCGGAUAAUAUCUUGAACCGUAUGGUUCAAUAGUGAAAGACGGUUUUGCUGUCACUUAUAGAUGGAUCCGCGCCGCAUUAGCUAGUUGGCAAGGUAACAGCUUAGCAAGGCUACGAUGCGUAGCCGACCUGAGAGGGUGAUCGGCCACACUGGAACUGCGGCACGGUCCAGACUCCUACGGGAGGCAGCCGUAGGCAAUCUUCCGCAAUGGGCGAAAGCCUUACAGAGCAACGCCGCGUGAGUGAUGAAGGUCUUCGGAUCGUAAAACUCUGUUAUUAGGAAAGAACAAAUGUGUAAGUAACUAUGCACGUCUUGACGGUACCUAAUCAGAAAGCCACGGCUAACUACGUG
rnacentral:rRNA from 1 species